rnacentral:tRNA from 1 species
UCCCUGGUGGUCCAAUGGUUAAGACUCUACUCUCCCAAUUAGGGGGCCUGGGUUCAAUCCCUGGCUGGGGAA